rnacentral:rRNA from 1 species
GACGAACGCUGGCGGCGUGCUUAACACAUGCAAGUCGAACGGAAAGGCCCUGCUUUUGUGGGGUGCUCGAGUGGCGAACGGGUGAGUAACACGUGAGUAACCUGCCCUUGACUUUGGGAUAACUUCAGGAAACUGGGGCUAAUACCGGAUAGGAUCUCCUGCUGCAUGGUGGGGGUUGGAAAGUUUCGGCGGUUGGGGAUGGACUCGCGGCUUAUCAGCUUGUUGGUUGGGUAGUGGCUUACCAAGGCUUUGACGGGUAGCCGGCCUGGGAGGGUGGCCGGACACAUUGGGCCUGAGAUACGGCCCAGACUCCUACGGGAGGCAGCAGUGGGGAAUAUUGCACAAUGGGCGGAAGCCUGGUGCAGCAACGCCGCGUGCGGGAUGACGGCCAUCGGGUUGUAAAGCGCUUUCGCCUGUGACGAAGCGUGAGUGACGGUAAUGGGUAAAGAAGCACCGGCUAACUACGUG